rnacentral:rRNA from 1 species
CCUACGGGUGGCAGCAGUGAGGAAUAUUGGUCAAUGGGCGCAGGCCUGAACCAGCCAAGUCGCGUGAGGGAUGACUGCCCUAUGGGUUGUAAACCUCUUUUAUAAGGGAAGAAUGAUGACUACGUGUACUCAGUUGCACGUACCUUAUGAAUAAGCAUCGGCUAACUCCGUGCCAGCAGCCGCGGUAAUACGGAGGAUGCGAGCGUUAUCCGGAUUUAUUGGGUUUAAAGGGUGCGUAGGCGGUGUGGUAAGUCAGUGGUGAAAUGUUUCCGCUCAACGGGGUAAAUUGCCAUUGAUACUGGCUGGCUGGAAUGCAGAUGAGGUAGGAGGAAUGUGUGGUGUAGCGGUGAAAUGCAUAGAUAUCACGAAGAACACCGAUUGCGAAGGCAGCUUACGAAACCGCGAUUGACGCUGAUGCACGAAAGCGUGGGUAUCAAACAGGAUUAGAUACCCUUGUAGUC